AGCAAAGCCGCGAGGUGGAGCGAAUCUCCAAAAAUUGUCCCAGUUCAGAUUGCAGGCUGCAACUCGCCUGCAUGAAGUCGGAAUUGCUAGUAAUCGUGGAUCAGCAUGCCACGGUGAAUACGUUCCCGGGCCUUGUACACACCGCCCGUCACACCAUGGGAGUCGGUAACACCCGAAGCCUGUAGUCUAACCGCAAGGAGGACGCAGUCGAAGGUGGGAUUGGUGACUGGGGUGAAGUCGUAACAAGGUAAC
rnacentral:rRNA from 1 species